GGGGACCAACCUGUUCCAGCAUACAGGGAAAGACCUCCAGAAGAAAAGGUUUAUAAAGGCAGUAUAAAGGCAAAGUGGAGGUUAAGCAGGACACAGGUGUCCAGAUUCUGUACUCUCCUAGGAGUAAUGGGAGCCAUGGAUGGUUUUAGGCAGAAGAAUGAUGAAGCCUGAGAUGCAUUUAGAGUUUUAUUGGCUGUAACAUGGUGAAAGUUAGGGAAGACGCCCAGAUGAGAAACAAAAAGAACAGUGACAAGGCUGCUACAAGCAUGCAGGCCAGAGAUAGUGGGAGCAAUGAGAAAAGAAGUGUGUGCAUUUGAAAGACAUUAGAAGUAGAUUUGGCAGGCCUUAGUGAUCAAGUGGGGAGGGAAAGAAAAGGGAAAUUAGGGAUGCCUUCUGGGGUUCUGGGUUAAGCAACUGAGAAACUGGUGAUGCCCCUUAUGUAGGCAGGGAACAGUGGGGGAGAUGCUGGAAUGGAAAUGAAGGUGAUAUAUUCAGUUGUGGAAAUGUACAGUGUGAGGUGAUGUCAAACGAUGUUGAGGCUUGUGGCUAUUUGGGGCUGAAACUCAGGGACAAAGGCUAGGUUGGAGAUACAGCUUUGAGAAACAUCACUUGUAGAAACUGACUGGAACUAUGUAGUGGAUAAGACUGCCUAAGGAGAAUGUGAUAGUUUCUCUUAUGGCAGAGGAAAAGAAGCUGCAAUGGAGACUGAGGGGAGAAAGAGACUAGAGAUAUAGGAAGAGGAAAACCAGGAGAGUGGGGGUUAUGGCUUUUUUUUUUUUUUUAAACAGUGACUGAAAAGGACAUACAGGACAGCAAUGACAAAUGCUGUUGAAAGGUCAAGGAAGGGGUGGGUGCAGUGGCUCACACCUGUAAUGCCAGCACUUUGGGAGGCCGAGGUAGGCAGAUCACUUGAGGUCAGGAGUUUGAGACCAGCCUGGCUAACAUGUUGAAACCCUGUCUCUACUAAAAAUACAAAAAUUAGCCAGGCAUGGUGGCACAGGCCUGUAGUCCCAGCUACUUGGGAGGCUGAGGCUGGAGGAUCACUUGAAUCCGGCAGGCAGAGGUUGCAGUAAGCCUCAGUGCCAUUGCACUCCAGCCUGGGUGACAGAGCGAGACUCUGUCUCAACAACAACAACAAAAGAACAAGGAAGAAUAAAGACUAGGUCUUUGAGGAGGGCAUUUUCAGUGAUAUGGUGAAACAGGUAUCAGAACUGCAGGGGACUGAGAAAUAAUGAAAGGUGAAGGUGAAGCAAUGGAGUGUUCACAUAUAGACCACUUUUUCCAUGAGGUUUGGUUGUAAAGGGGAGAGGGGAAAGAAGGUGGUAGCUGGAAGGAGAGGAGUUGUCUGGAGCUAAGGGACAUCACUUUGAUGGUUGCUCUUUCUUCAGUAACGGAGGUUCCUGGGAGAGCAAGCGGGGGAGGGGGGGUUGAAGAGUGGGAGAUCUGGGGAGCAUGCAGGAUAUUUGGAAGUUGAUUUUGGGGGAGAGCUGGAGAGAGAGCUGCCUUGGCAAAUAGGAGCGCUGAAAGGUGUUGAGGACCUAGUUGAAGUUGACAAUGUAUGUAGCACUGAUCUGUGUGGUUGUGAGAUUUUGUCCAGCAGCACUUAGAGCCAAGAAGCAGAUUCAGAGAAGACAGAAGGUUGGAUUCUUCCAGGAUUGUAGUGCUGCCAGAUGGGUGUUACUAUCCUUCUAGUUAUGCCAGAAAGAUAACUGUGCAAGGAAUAUAAGUAUAUUGGGAAGAAUGUGAUGGAGGUGAUAAACCCUGAACUCUCAGCUGAUGGGGAAGGAAAUGAAGACUCGAUGGAGCUUAUAAAUAAAACAAAGUAGAGGGACAAAUGAACUGGAAGUUUCUGCAGGCUAGAGAAACCAUGAAAGGAAUUCAGAGAAUAGCAGAAGGACAGAUGAAAGAUCAGGUGUCUGCAUUUAUAACUUCAGAGGUGGAGCUCUUCUGUGGUCCAGGGUGUUACCCUAGGAGUGGAGGACUGAAGAGGACUGGAAGAGAAAGACUCUGGAGUUGACUGUGAACCUGGAGCCAAAGUGAACAAUGAUUGGAGAUGAGAGCUAGGACUUUAGGUACUACAUCUCACCCCUGUUGUCCAAUCUACCAUGGUGCCUGAACCACACCAGUUGCACCAGUCAGAGAGUGUAAGGUCCUGUUCUAAAGCACUCGCACCACAAGUUUUGAGAGCCCAAUUCCCCAUAUUUGUUUGUUUGUUUUGUUUUGUUUUGUUUGUUUUUUGAGAUGGAGUUUCGCUCUUGUAGGUCAGGCUGGAGUGCAAUGGUGCGAUCUCGGCUUACUGCAGCCUCCUCCUCCCAGGUUCA
rnacentral:lncRNA from 10 species